GGUGCAAUAGCUCAGUGGCCAGAGCAUGCGAUUGCAGAUCGCGUGGUCCCGCGUUCGAAUCGCGGUUGUGCCU